rnacentral:rRNA from 1 species
AGAGCGAACGCUGGCGGCAGGCCUAACACAUGCAAGUCGAACGGAUCCUUCGGGAUUAGUGGCGGACGGGUGAGUAACACGUGGGAACGUGCCCUUUGGUUCGGAACAACUCAGGGAAACUUGAGCUAAUACCGGAUAAGCCUUUCGAGGGAAAGAUUUAUCGCCAUUGGAGCGGCCCGCGUAGGAUUAGCUAGUUGGUGAGGUAAAAGCUCACCAAGGCGACGAUCCUUAGCUGGUCUGAGAGGAUGAUCAGCCACAUUGGGACUGAGACACGGCCCAAACUCCUACGGGAGGCAGCAGUGGGGAAUCUUGCGCAAUGGGCGAAAGCCUGACGCAGCCAUGCGCGUGAAUGAUGAAGGUCUAGGAUUGUAAAAUUCUUCGACCGGGAGAUAAUGACGGUACCGAGAAGAAGCCCGCUAACUCGCGCCAGCAGCCGAC